rnacentral:rRNA from 1 species
AUUAAAUGGCUGCGGUAUUUUGACCGUGCAAAGGUAGCAUAAUCAUUAGUUUAUUAAUUGUGAACUUGUAUGAAUGGUUUGAUGAAAUAUUGACUGUCUCAAUUUUAUAAUUAUAAUUUAACUUUUUAGUCAGAAGGCUUAAAUUUUUUUGUGGGACGAGAAGACCCUAUAGAUCUUUAUUGUUUAAUUUUUUAUUUAUUAUUUUAUAUUUAAAUUUAUUAAUAUAAUUUGGUUGGGGUGACAAGGGGAAAUAAUAAACUCUUCUUUAUUUUUUCAUUAAUUUAUGUUAUUUUAAUUUUGUAUUAUUUGUUUUAGAGUUAGAUACCUUAGGGAUAACAGCGUAAUUUAAUUUGAGAGUUCUUAUUGACAAUUAAGAUUGCGACCUCGAUGUUGGAUUAAGAUUAGAUUUUGAUGCAGAAGUUAAAAUUUCUUGGUCUGUUCGACCUAUAAAUUCUUACAUGAUCUGAGUUCAAAACCGGAG